GAUGAAGAACGCAGCGAAAUGCGAUAAGUAAUGUGAAUUGCAGAAUUCAGUGAAUCAUCGAAUCUUUGAACGCACAUUGCGCCCGCCAGUAUUCUAGCGGGCAUGCCUGUUCGAGCGUCAUUUCAACCCUCAAGCACAGCUUGGUGUUGGGACUCGCGUUAAUUCGCGUUCCUCAAAUUGAUUGGCGGUCACGUCGAGCUUCCAUAGCGUAGUAGUAAAACCCUCGUUACUGGUAAUCGUCGCGGCCACGCCGUUAAACCCCAACUUCUGAAUGUUGACCUCGGAUCAGGUAGGAAUACCCGCUGAACUUAAGCAUAUCAAUAAGCGGAGAA
rnacentral:misc_RNA from 1 species